rnacentral:lncRNA from 1 species
GACGAAGCCUCAGCGUCGCCUGGAAAAUGAAAUUUGACCUGAAGCUCUGGAUAUAAACUGACCUAAGAAUACAUUGUUUCUCAUGGGUCCUUACCCUAUUGAAGUUGCUCUUACACAAACCAAAUUAUUCAUCAACAUGAUAUACAUUGCCCGAUUCUCAAACCAUCCUUUUCCAAUUUCAUCCCAAUUUGGACACCAGCAGGCAAGAGAUACUACCCAAUUACAAGCCGCACAUUGUGAAGGGGAAAACUUGUGAUUCAAUUCAAAUGGGAGACAGUAAAGGUACAAGGAAUUGUACAAACAAGGAGUGAGAUGUGAGGAUAGGAGGCACAACCAUAUCGCAACUGCCACUAGGCGGUGCCGUCGCCGGCGCCGGAUUCCUCCUCGAGCUUGCGCACGUAGGCCGAGAGCACGGCGACGACGUCCCUGGCGGGCGCCUGCAGCGUGGUGACGAGGGAGGUGGCCGGCCCAUUGAGGGCGCCGAGCAGCUUGGAGUAGACCUCGGCGCGGCUGGGCAUGGUCUCGAGCGACUUGAACUCGGCGGGCGCGUAGUACUUGCCCUCGAACACCGCCCCGAUGAAGUCGUUGGUCUCCUCGACGCGCUCCUCCUUCUGGAAGGCGCGGUAGGGCUUGAGCGCGACGGGGACCUCCUCCGUGUGGACGAAGAGCCAGGCGUUCAUGCCCUUCAUGCACGGCUUGAGCGCCUCCCAGGGGGUGCCCUCGAUGGCCUUCCCCACCAGCGUGUUCUUCGCCACCAGGAGGUGGCACGACUCCGGCAGCGCGUCGCGGAUGCCCUGGAACUGCUUCACCGUCAGGCCCUCGUANNNNNNNNNNNNNNNNNNNNNNNNNNNNNNNNNNNNNNNNNNNNNNNNNNNNNNNNNNNNNNNNNNNNNNNNNNNNNNNNNNNNNNNNNNNNNNNNNNNNNNNNNNNNNNNNNNNNNNNNNNNNNNNNNNNNNNNNNNNNNNNNNNNNNNNNNNNNNNNNNNNNNNNUGUCCUCCUUGCGCCCGCGGGAGAUGGCGGCGCGGAUGGUGGAGCGGCGCAGAGGGCGGGGGCACCGCGGGGCCGCGGCUAGGGUUUGGAACGCCGGGAGGGGCCGCGCGGUCGGGAGGAAGGAGGUCUCCAUUUUUCUGGGGCGGGCGGGCGGGCGCGCCGGGCGGGGGUUGGGUUGGGGAGAAACGGCGAGGAAGAUAGAGUGGAGUGGAAGAAGCUUAUCUAUGGAGAAGACGAUGGGUGGUUUCUUCCGUGGACACGGUGCACGUGGACCUUUGGAUUAUGUUUUCAUUUCCUUUGAGGGGUUCCUUUGGAUUAUGUGUGACCGUAUAUUCAGCGAGGAAGAUACACCGUUGUGUUCUUCGUAUUCUUACUUUUUUUAUUAAGAUUAUUACUCCUUCCUAUUGAAAAUGUGGUCCGAUACAGUUCUCUUUUUAUUAUUUUCUGUUGUUUGUUGUACUGUCAUGAUUGAAAAUUAAUAGAUUGAAAGUUUUUUUUAAAAAAUAUAUUAAUUUUGAAUAAGUUUAUAAAAAAUUAUUGAUUUUUACAAUACCAAAUACAUACAUUAGGGCAUCUCCAACGCUGACCCAAAAAAUGGACACCGCAUCCAUCCGCGGAGCCGGCCAUCCAAUGUUAACCGCAUACAUUUCAAAUUAGAUUUAAAAUAACCGGGGGAAAUUCACGCAAACCGGAUGAUAUUCAUACAAAUCGGAAUACAUUCAGUACAUUUUAAACAUUUUUCAAUAAGAAAGGGGGAGGGGCGGACCUAAACCUAGACUACGGCGGCGUCCGGCGUCCAAAUCCUUGUUGUUCCCUUCAUCUGCCGUCUCCAUGAGCAGCAACGACGACAAAACCCGUGAAGUGAAGGUGCGAUUGCCGGCAAGGAAGAGUAGAACAUGGUAAACGGACCGGCCCACAUAAGACAAAAGGCCUUGUUGCCUCCCAUGCCCUACUCAUCCUCGCGUGCGAGUCCGCGACCUGUCCGUCGGCGGUGGGCAUGAGGCCCACAAUGAAAAUGGAGGGGAUGACCAUGUCAUCGUCCCACCGGUGUGGCCAAACAGUGUUUGGCGGGGCAUAGGACGCGCAGUUGGCGGCGUUCUUGUCCACAAUUGCCUGCACAGCCAGCGCCACUUCCACGAGCGGCGGCUUGAGCGCGGGCGGCCUCGUAGAGCGCCCGCUGCUCGACGACGAAGUUGGGGUUCGCCGCGGCUAUGUCCAUCACGACCUUCUCGCCCGCGCACUCGCUGUAGAUUUGACACUCUGCCAACUGGUGCAUCUCGAGAAGAACGGGUUGUAACAUUGUUCGUCCUACGCCUGCUGGACCACCGACAUAGGCGCGCGGCAGUGGUGUUGUUGUGAGAGACCUCGAGGGAGCUGGCCGGCAUGCCGACCUCGAUCCGCAUGUGUAACACCCCGGAUGUAAUUUACCUUAUUUGUAUUCCAACUCUCGCCUUUUCCAGCACUAAGUUAUGUUAUUUUCUCGUUGUUGGGUUUUUGUCUCCGUGUGUUUUGUCUUUGUCAUGCAUCUCAUAUCAUGUCAUCAUGUGCAUUGCAUUUGCAUACACGUUCGUCUCAUGUAUCCGAGCAUUUUCCCCGUUGUCCGUUUUGCAUUCCGGCGCUCCUAUGUCCUCCGGUGGUUCUUUCUACCUCUUUUCGUGUGCGGGUGUUAAACGUUUUCGGAUUGGACCGAGACUUUUCAUGCGGCCUUGGUUUACUACCGGUAGACCGUCUGUCAAAUUUCGUGCCAUUUGGACUUCGUUUGAUACUCCAACAGUUAACCGAGGGACCGAAAAGGCCUCGUGUGUGUUGCAGCCCAACACCCCUCCAAAGUAGCCCAAAACCCACCUAAACCCCUUCCAUCAUCUAGAGCGUUCGAUCACAAUCGCGUGGCCGAAAACCGCACCUCAUUUGGAGCUUCCUAGCUCCCUCUACCUCUAUAAAUAGGUCCCUCCCCGAAAAUCUCGGAUCUCCUCUUCCAAACCCUAGCAAAACCCACUCCUCUGCCGCGCCGGACAUGUCCGCCCCUGGCCGGACAACCGCCGCCGCCAGCCGUAGCCACUGAGAAGCCGCCACCUGUCCCGCCCAGCGCCCGUCUCCGCCGCGGCCCGGGAAGCCCGGAUCGGGCCCCCGCGAGCCCAAAGCCGCCGCCGACUGGCUCCUCGCCCGCGCCGCCCGAGUCUUGUUGGAAAUAUGCCCUAGAGGCAAUAAUAAAAGUAUUAUUAUAUUUCAAUGUUCAUGAUAAAUGUCUUUUAUUCAUGCUAUAACUGUAUUAUCCGGAAAUCGUAAUACACGUGUGAAUACAUAGACCACAAUAUGUCCCUGGUGAGCCUCUAGUUGACUAGCUCGUUGUGAUCAACGGAUAGUCAUGGUUUCCUGACUAUGGACAUUAGAUGUCGUUGAUAACGGGAUCACAUCAUUAGGAGAAUGAUGUGAUGGACAAGACCCAAUCCUAAGCAUAGCACAAAGAUCGUGUAGUUCGUUUGCUAGAGCUUUGCCAAUGUCAAGUAUCUGUUCCUUUGACCAUGAGAUCGUGUAACUCCUGGAUACCGUAGGAGUGCUUUGGGUGUAUCAAACGUCACAACGUAACUGGGUGACUAUAAAGGUGCACUACAUGUAUCUCCGAAAGUACCUAUUGUUUUAUGCGGAUCGAGACUGGGAUUUGUCACUCCGUGUAAACGGAGAGGUAUCUCUGGGCCCACUCGGUAGGACAUCAUCAUAUGCGCAAUGUGACCAAGGAGUUGAUCACGGGAUGAUGUGUUACGGAACGAGUAAAGUGACUUGCCGGUAACGAGAUUGAACAAGGUAUUGGAUACCGACGAUCGAAUCUCGGGCAAGUAACAUAGCGAUAGACAAAGGGAAUUGAAUACGGGAUCGAUUGAGUCCUUGACAUCGUGGUUCAUCCGAUGAGAUCAUCAUGGAACAUGUGGGAGCCAACAUGGGUAUCCAGAUCCCGCUGUUGGUUAUUGACUGGAGAACGUCUCGGUCAUGUCUGCAUGUCUCCCGAACCCGUAGGGUCUACACACUUAAGGUUCGAUGACGCUAGGGUUAUAAAGGAAGCUUGUAUGUGGUUACCGAAUGUUGUUCGGAGUCCCGGAUGAGAUCUCGGACGUCACGAGGAGUUCCGGAAUGGUCCGGAGGUAAAGAUUUAUAUAUAGGAAGUCCUGUUUUGGCCAUCGGGACAAGUUUCGGGGUCAUCGGUAUUGUACCGGGACCACCGGAAGGGUCCCGGGGGCCCACCGGGUGGGGCCACCUGCCCCGGGGGGCCACAUGGGCUGUAGGGGGUGCGCCUUGGCCUACAUGGGCCAAGGGCACCAGCCCCAAGAGGCCCAUGCGCCUAGGGAACCCUAGAGGGAAGAGUCCUCAAGGGGGAAGGCACCUCCGAGGUGCCUUGGGGAGGAUGGACUCCUCCCCCCCUCUUGGCCGCCGCACCAGAUGCCAUCUGGAGGCUGGCCGCCGCCCCUUGGGGUGGGAAACCCUAAAGGGGGCGCAGCCCUCCCCUUCCCCUAUAUAUAUGAGGCCUAGGGGCUGCCCAUAACACGCGAUUUGAUCUCUGGUUGGUGCAGCCCUGCCCCUCUCCCUCCUCCUCUUCUCCCAUGGUGCUUGGCGAAGCCCUGCGGGAUUACCACGCUCCUCCACCACCACCACGCCGUUGUGCUGCUGCUGGAUGGAGUCUUCCUCAACAUCUCCCUCUCUCCUUGCUGGAUCAAGGCGUGGGAGACGUCACCGGGCUGUACGUGUGUUGAACGCGGAGGUGCCGUGCGUUCGGCACUUGAUCAUCGGUGAUCUGAAUCAUGACGAGUACGACUCCAUCAACCCCGUUCACUUGAACGCUUCCGCUUAGCGAUCUACAAGGGUAUGUAGAUGCACUCUCUUUCUACUCGUUGUUGGUCUCUCCAUAGAUAGAUCUUGGUGACACGUAGGAAAAUUUUAAAUUUCUGCUACGUUCCCCAACAGUGGCAUCAUGAGCUAGGUCUAUUGCGUAGAUUCUUUGCACGAGUAGAACACAAAGUAGUUGUGGGCGUUGAUGUUGUUCAAUAUGCUUACCGUUACUAGUCCAAUCUUGUUUCGGCGGUAUUGUGGGAUGAAGCGGCCCGGACCGACCUUACACGUACUCUUACGUGAGACAGGUUCCACCGAUUGACAUGCACUUGGUGCAUAAGGUGGCUAGCGGGUGCCAGUCUCUCUCACUUUAGUCGGAACGGAUUCGAUGAAAAGGGUCCUUAUGAAGGGUAAAUAGCAAUUGGCAUAUCAUGUUGUGGUCUUGCGUAGGUAAGAAACGUUCUUGCUAGAAACCCAUAGCAGCCACGUAAAACAUGCAACAACAAUUAGAGGACGUCUAACUUGUUUUUGCAGGGUAUGCUAUGUGAUGUGAUAUGGCCAAAGGAUGUGAUGAAUGAAUAUAUGUGAUGUAUGAGAUUGAUCAUGUUCUUGUAAUAGGAUUCACGACUUGCAUGUCGAUGAGUAUGACAACCGGCAGGAGCCAUAGGAGUUGUCUUUAUUUUUUGUAUGACCUGCGUGUCAUUGAAGAACGCCAUGUAAACUACUUUACUUUAUUGCUAAACGCGUUAGUCAUAGAAGUAGAAGUAGUCGUUGGCGUGACAACUUCAUGAAGACACGAUGAUGGAGAUCAUGAUGAUGGAGAUCAUGGUGUCAUGCCGGUGACAAGAUGAUCAUGGAGCCCCGAAGAUGGAGAUCAAUGGAGCUAUAUGAUAUUGGCCAUAUCAUGUCACAACUAUAUAAUUGCAUGUGAUGUUUAUUAUGUUUAUGCAUCUUGUUUGCUUAGAACGACGGUAGUAAAUAAGAUGAUCCCUUACAAAAUUUCAAGAAGUGUUCUCCCCUAACUGUGCACCGUUGCUACAGUUCAUCGCUUCUAAGCACCACGUGAUGAUCGGGUGUGAUGGAUUCUUACAUUCACAUACAACGGGUGUAAGACAGUUUUACACAGCGAAAACACUUAGGGUUAACUUGACGAGCCUAGCAUGUGCAGACAUGGCCUCGGAACACGGAGACCGAAAGGUCGAGCAUGAGUCGUAUAGUAGAUACGAUCAACAUAAAGAUGUUCACCGAUGAUGACUAGUCCGUCUCACGUGAUGAUCGGACACGGUCUAGUUGACUCGGAUCAUGUAAUCACUUAGAUGACCAGAGGGAUGUCUAUCUGAGUGGGAGUUCAUAAGAUGAACUUAAUUAUCCUGAACAUAGUCAAAAGACCUUUUGCAAAUUAUGUCGUAGCUCGCGCUUUAGUUCCACUGUUUAGAUAUGUUCCUAGAGAAAAUAUAGUUGAAAGUUGACAGUAGCGAUUAUGCGAACAGUAGAAAGCUUAUGUCCUUAAUGCACUGCUCAGUGUGCUGAACCCCAAACGUCGUUUGUGGAUGUUGCGAACAUCGGACAUACACGUUUUGAUAACUACGUGAUAGUUCAGUUAAACGGUUUAGAGUUGAGGCACUAAAGACGUUUUCGAAACGUCACGGAACAUAUGAGAUGUUUCGAGGGCUGAAAUUGGGAUUUCAGGCUCGUGCCCACGUCAAGAGGUAUGAGACCUCCGACGAUUUUCUUAGCCUGCAAACUAAGGGCGAAAAGCUCAAUCGUUGAGCUUGUGCUCAGAUUGUCUGAGUGCAACAAUCACUUCUAUCGAGUGGGAGUUGAUCUUCCAGAUGAGAUAGUGAUGUUUCCCCAAAGUCAUUGCCACCGAGCUGCUAGAGCUUCGUGAUGAACUAUAACAUAUCAGGGAUAAAUAAGAUGAUCCUUUAGGUAUUCACGAUGUUUGACACCGCGAAAGUAGAAAUCAAGAAGGAGCAUCAAUUGUUGAUGGUUGGUGAAACCACUAGUUUCAAGAAGGGCAAGGGAACAAAGGGAUACUUCAUGAAACGGCAAUUCAGCUGCUGCUCAAGUGAAGAAACCCAAGGUUGAACCCAAACCCGAGACUAAGUGCUUCUGUAAUAAGGGGAACAACCACUGGAGCAGCAUUACCCUAGAUACUUGGUAGAUGAGAAGGCUGGCAAGGUCGAUAGAAGUAUAUUGGAUAUACAUUAUGUUAAUGUGUACUUUACUAGUACUCCUAGUAGCACCAGGGUAUUAGAUACCGGUUCGGUUGCUAAGUGUUAGUAACUCGAAAUAAAAGGCUACGGAAUAAACGGAGACUAGCUAAAGGUGAGCUGACGAUAUGUGUUGGAAGUGUUUCCAAUGUUGAUAUGAUCAAGCAUCGCACACUCCCUCUACCAUCGAGAUUUGGUGUUUGCGUUGAGCAUAGACAUGAUUGGAUUAUGUCUAUCGCAAUACGGUUAUUCAUUUAAAGAGAAUAAUGGUUAUUCUAUUUAUUUGAAUAAUACCUUCAAUGGUCUUGCACCUAAAAUGAAUGGUUCAUUGAAAUCUCGAUCGUAGUGAUACACAUGUUCAUGCCAAAAGAUAGUAAUGAUAGUACCACCUAUUUGUGGCACUGCCACGUAAGUCAUAUCGGUAUAAAAUGCAUGAAGAAGCUCCAUGUUGAUGGAUCUUUGGACUCACUCAUUUUUGAAAAGUUUGAGACAUGCGAACCAUGUCUAUUGGUAUAUAUGCAUGAAGAAACUCCAUGCAAAUGGACCGUUCGGACUCACUUAAUUUUGAAUCACUUGAGAUAUGCAAAUCAUACCACAUAGGCAAGAUGACUGAAAAGCCUCGGUUUCAAUAAGAUGGAACAAGAUAGCAACUUGUUGGAACUAACACAUUUUGAUGUGUCCAAUCCAAUGAGUGCUGAGGCAUGCAGUGAAUAUCGUUAUGAUCUUACUUCACAGAUGAUUCGAGUAGAUGUUGAGAAUAUUUACUUGAUGAAACACAAGUCUGAAUUAUUGAAUGGUUCAAGUAAUUUCAGAGUGAAGUAGAAGAUCAUUGUGACAAGAGGAUGAAAUGUCUAUGAUACGAUCAUAGAGAUGAAUAUCUGAGUUACGAGUUUUGGCACACAAUUAAGACAUUGUGGAAAUUGUUUCAUAAUUAAUACCGCCUGGAACACCAUAGUGUGAUGGUGUGUCCGAACAUCAUAGUUGCACCCUAUUGGAUAUGGUGCGUACCAUGAUGUCUCUUAUCGAAUUACCACUAUUGUUCAUGGGUUAGGCAUUAGAGACAACCACAUUCACUUUAAAUAGGGCACCGCGUAAUUCCGUUGAGAUGACACCGUUUGAAUUAUGGUUUAGAGAAACCUAAGUUGUCGUUUCUUAAAAGUUUGGGGUUGCGACGCUUAUAUGAAAAAGUUUCAGGUUGAUAAGCUCGAACCCAAAGCGGAUAAAAUGCAUCUUCAUAGGAAACCCAAAACAGUUGGGUAUACCUCCUAAUUCAGAUCCGAAAGCAAUAUGGAUUGUUUCUUGAAUCGGGUCCUUUCUAGAGGAAAAGUUUUUCUCGAAAGAAUUGAGUGGGAGGAUGGUGGAGACUUGAUGAGGUUAUUGAACCGUCUUUUCAACUAGUGUGUGACAGGGCACAGGGAGUUGUUCCUGUGGCACCUACACCAAUUGAAGUGGAAGCUUAUGAUAUUGAUCAUGAAACUUCGGAUCAAGUCACUCCCAAACCUCGUAGGAUGACAAGGAUGCGUACUACUUCAGAGUGGUAUGUAAUCCUGUCUUGAAGGUCAUGUUGCUAGACAACAAUGAACCUACGAGCUAUGGAGAAGCGAUGGUGGGCCCGGAUUCCGAUAAAUGGCUCGAGGCCAUAAAAUCCGAGAACGGAUCCAUGGACUUUGGUGGACUUGCCCGAUGAUCGGCAAGCCAUUAAGAUAAAUGGAUCUUUAAGAAGAAGACGGACGUGGAUGGUAAUGUCACCGUCCAUGAAGCUCGACUUGUGGCGAAAAGUUUUUCACAAGUUCAAGGAGUUGACUACGAUGAGAUUUUAUCAUCCGUAGCGAUGAUUAAAGUCCGUCGGAUUCAUGUUAGCAUUAGCUGUAUUUAUGAAAUCUGGCAGAUGGAUAUCAAAACGAGUUUCCUUACCAGUUUUCGUGAGGAAAGGUUGUAUGUAAUACAAUCAGAAAUUUUUUGUCGAUCCUAAGGAUGCUAAAAGGUAUGCUAGCUCCAGCGAUCCUUCUAAGGACUGGAGUGAGCAUCUCGAAGUUGGAAUGUAUGCUUUGAUGAUGAUCAAAGAUUUUGGGUUUGUACAAAGUUUAUGAGAAACUUGUAUUUCCAAAGAAGUGAGUGGGAGCACUAUAGAAUUUCUGAUGAAUACAUGUUGAUCAGAAAUGAUGUAGAAUUUCUGGAAAGCAUAUAGGGUUAUUUUGAAAGUGUUUUUCAAUAGAAAGCCUGGAUUAAGCUACUUGAACAUUGAGCAUCAAGAUCUAUAAGGAUAGAUCAAAAUGCUUAAUAAUACUUUCAAAUGAGCACAUACCUUGACAUGAUCUUGAAGGUGUUCAAGAUGGACCAGUCAAAGAAGGAGUUCUUGCCUGAGUUGUAAGGUACGAAGUUAAGACUUAAAGCUCGACCACGGCAGAAUAGAGAGAAAGGACGAAGGUCGUCCCCUAUGCUUAAGACGUAGGCUCUUCAGUAUGCUAUGCUGUGUACCGCACCUGAAGUGUGUCUUGCCAUGAGUCUGUCAAGGGGUACAAGAGUGAUCCAAGAAUGGCUCACAGGACAGCGGUCAAAGUUAUCCUUAGUAACUAGUGGACUAAGGAAUUUUCUCGAUUAUGGAGGUGGUAAAAGAGUUCGUCGUAAAGGUUACGACGAUGCAAGCUUGACACCUAUCCGGAUAGCUCUGAGUAGAGAGACCGGAUACAUAUAAUGGAGCAAUAAUUUAGAAUAGCUCCAAGUAGAACAGUUGUUUGGAAUAGCUCCAAAUAGAGCGUGGUAGCUGCAUCUAGGAGAUGACAUGGAGAUUUGUAAAGCACACACGGAUCUGAAAGGUUCAGACCCGUUGACUAAAACCUCUCUCACAAGCAACAUGAUCAAACAUAAAACUCAUUGAGUGUUAAUCACAUAGUGAUGUGAACUAGACUACUGACUCUAGUAAACUCUUGGGUAUUGGUCACAUGGCGAUGUGACCUGUGAGUGUUAAUCACAUGGCGAUGUGAACUAGAUUAUUGACUCUAGUGCAAGUGGGAGACUGUUGGAAAUAUGCCCUAGAGGCAAUAAUAAAAGUAUUAUUAUAUUUCAAUGUUCAUGAUAAAUGUCUUUUAUUCAUGCUAUAACUGUAUUAUCCGGAAAUCGUAAUACACGUGUGAAUACAUAGACCACAAUAUGUCCCUGGUGAGCCUCUAGUUGACUAGCUCGUUGUGAUCAACGGAUAGUCAUGGUUUCCUGACUAUGGACAUUAGAUGUCGUUGAUAACGGGAUCACAUCAUUAGGAGAAUGAUGUGAUGGACAAGACCCAAUCCUAAGCAUAGCACAAAGAUCGUGUAGUUCGUUUGCUAGAGCUUUGCCAAUGUCAAGUAUCUGUUCCUUUGACCAUGAGAUCGUGUAACUCCUGGAUACCGUAGGAGUGCUUUGGGUGUAUCAAACGUCACAACGUAACUGGGUGACUAUAAAGGUGCACUACAGGUAUCUCCGAAAGUACCUAUUGUUUUAUGCGGAUCGAGACUGGGAUUUGUCACUCCGUGUAAACAGAGAGGUAUCUCUGGGCCCACUCGGUAGGACAUCAUCAUAUGCGCAAUGUGACCAAGGAGUUGAUCACGGGAUGAUGUGUUACGGAACGAGUAAAGUGACUUGCCGGUAACGAGAUUGAACAAGGUAUUGGAUACCGACGAUCGAAUCGCGGGCAAGUAACAUACCGAUAGACAAAGGGAAUUGAAUACGGGAUCGAUUGAGUCCUUGACAUCAUGGUUCAUCCGAUGAGAUCAUCGUGGAACAUGUGGGAGCCAACAUGGGUAUCCAGAUCCCGCUGUUGGUUAUUGACUGGAGAACGUCUCGGUCAUGUCUGCAUGUCUCCCGAACCCGUAGGGUCUACACACUUAAGGUUCGAUGACGCUAGGGUUAUAAAGGAAGCUUGUAUGUGGUUACCGAAUGUUGUUCGGAGUCCCGGAUGAGAUCCCGGACGUCACAAGGAGUUCCGGAAUGGUCCGGAGGUAAAGAUUUAUAUAUAGGAAGUCCUGUUUUGGCCAUCGGGACAAGUUUCGGGGUCAUCGGUAUUGUACCGGGACCACCGGAAGGGUCCCGGGGGCCCACCAGGUGGGGCCACCUGCCCCGGGGGGGCACAUGGGCUGUAGGGGGUGCGCCUUGGCCUACAUGGGCCAAGGGCACCAGCCCCAAGAGGCCCAUGCGCCUAGGGAACCCUAGAGGGAAGAGUCCUCAAGGGGGAAGGCACCUCCGAGGUGCCUUGGGGAGGAUGGACUCCUCCCCCCCUCUUGGCCGCCGCACCAGAUGCCAUCUGGAGGCUGGCCGCCGCCCCUUGGGGUGGGAAACCCUAAAGGGGGCGCAGCCCUCCCCUUCCCCUAUAUAUAUGAGGCCUAGGGGCUGCCCAUAACACGCGAUUUGAUCUCUGGUUGGUGCAGCCCUGCCCCUCUCCCUCCUCCUCUUCUCCCAUGGUGCUUGGCGAAGCCCUGCGGGAUUACCAUGCUCCUCCACCACCACCACGCCGUUGUGCUGCUGCUGGAUGGAGUCUUCCUCAACCUCUCCCUCUCUCCUUGCUGGAUCAAGGCGUGGGAGACGUCACCGGGCUGUACGUGUGUUGAACGCGGAGGUGCCGUGCGUUCGGCACUUGAUCAUCGGUGAUCUGAAUCACGACGAGUACGACUCCAUCAACCCCGUUCACUUGAACGCUUCCGCUUAGCGAUCUACAAGGGUAUGUAUAUGCACUCUCUUUCUACUCGUUGCUGGUCUCUCCAUAGAUAGAUCUUGGUGACACGUAGGAAAAUUUUGAAUUUCUGCUACGUUCCCCAACAAGUCUCUCACCGCGCCGCCCUUCGUCCGCCGCGCCGGCGAGCGCCGCCCCGCUCCAGCAGCACAACUCCCGCGCCACCUGAGCUCCUCCGCCGACCGCCGGCGUCGCCUCCUCGCCGCCCGGAGCUCCGGCGAGCUCCUCCGCCGGCCUCCACCGCCCUGGCUUCCUCUCCUUCCUCCUCCGACGUCCCGCAGCUCCGGCGAGCAUGAACCCCGGCCAGUGAACCUCGGGAGGCGAGCAACUACAGUGCCGUCCCAGAUCUGGAUCUGAAGUUUCGAGGGGUUGACUUUUUCGUCCCUAAACCCUAGCAUUUUUGCAUUCUUCCACAUGCCAUAACUUCCUCAUCGUAGCUCCGAUUCGUACGUGUAGCAUAUCAAAAUGUUCGUCUCGACGAGUACAUCAUUUCAUCUCAUUGCAUCAUUUUCAUUUGAGCUCAUCUUGAUGCCCGAAAUGUUCUUGGAAGAGGGCUAUGUGAGGAUUGUUUCAGAUCUGUUUCAGCAAAUGCACUUUUGUCAUUUUUGCCAUGAUUAAUGUAUGCAUGCUAUGAUCCUGAGCUCUACAUGUGUUUUGAAGAAUGCCAUGUCAUCUUUACAGAGGUGUAUGCCAUGUAUUUUUGUGAUCUUUGUGGUGACUAGCACAAGCAUGCAAAGUAGCUUACUCAAUGAUGCUGAUUUUAGGGACUUAGAAUUUUACCAAGUCCUUGCCCUGUCAUUACUUUUAUGCCAUAUGUUCAUGUUGUUUCCUAGUGAUCCGUGCCUCUUUUGAGCAUGAUCAGUAAGGAUGUUUUGUAGAUAAUGUUGUGCUCUAUCCAUCCAUGUCUUUGUUUGCAAUUAUAGAGCACCGUAGCUUGAGUCAAUCGAGCUCUACCUUUGCUAUAAAAUGUUCUUGGCUGAUUGUUAACAUGUUUAGCGAUUUUGCCGAGCUUGUUGUAGUUGAUCCAUGCAUGCUACGUUGUUGUUCUUGCCAUGUCUAGCUUCUAUGCCAUGUCUAUUUGCUGGGUGUAUGCUUAGUUUGUCAUUCAAUGCCUCAUAGUGAGUGCAUUGAGCUCGUAAACAUGCCUACUUGUUAACUGUUUUGCAUGCUCCAGUUUUUCACUAAGUCUGAAUAUGUUUUCGUUAAUUUCUAUGUUCACAUGCUUGCAAUUGUAUCUUCUGAUCCCUUUUGGCUCAUGGUCACUAAGGCUCUUUUGUUAUAUGCUUUGAGUAGCUUCAUGCCAUGCCUUGCUUUGCCAUGAUAUGUUCCUGUAGCAUGUAGUUAUCGUGCUCUAAACAUUGCUUCCUGAUGAUAAAUUCCUGACAUGCUGUUAAUUUCACUAAGUCUGAAACCAGUAAUCUUUUACACUUUUGCCAUGCUUGUUUGAGCUUGCUAUUGAGUGAAUUAGCCGUAACUCAUUGUUCAUCUUUUGUCAAGCAUCAUGAGUGGAUACCUGCCAUGUAUUUUGUUGCUAUGUUUGAGUGUUGUAGCAUGUUGUUCUUGAUGCAUUUAGAAGGCUACUUGUUGUUAAUCGCAGACCGGUGCCAUAUUUGUUUUGCUUGCCAUUUCCAAACCGUGCAUUUGAUUCCGGUGAUCUUUAUAUCGAUUUCAACCAAAAUCACCUCACCUUUCUAGUGGCACUCUUGGAUUUCCAAGUUGAGGCCAGGUUCAUUCAUUCCUUUGCAAAUCAUGCAUGUGCAUCACAUAUCGCAUCCCGCAUAUCAUACCAUGUUUGCAUCAUGUUGCUUGAGCAUUGCACGUGGUUGAUUGUGUUCCUUUUUGCUUGUUGUUCUUGCUUGGGUAGAGCCGGGAGACGAGUACAUGAUCGAGGAGCCCGUUGAGUACGCUUACAAGGAUCAAGGCAACUCUGAGAACUUUGCAGGCAAGAUGACCAUACCCUCGAAAUCACUUCUAUCUUUGCUUGCUAGAUGCUCGCUCUUUUGCUAUGCCUAUGCUACGAUACCUACCACUUGCUUAUCAUGCCUCUCUAAUUUCCAUGUCAAACCUCUAACCCACCAUGUCCUAGCAAACCGUUGUUUGGCUAUGUUACCGCUUUGCUUAGCCCCCUCUUAUAGCAUUGCUAGUUGCAGGUGAAGUUUGGAGAUUGUUCCUGGUUGGAACAUGUUUAUUGUUGGGAUAUCACAAUAUUAUCUUGUUUAUCUUAAUGCACCUAUAUACUUGGUAAAGGGUGGAAGGCUCGGCCUUAUGCCUGGUGUUUGUUCCACUCUUGCCGCCCUAGUUUCCGUCAUAUCGGUGUUAUGUUCCCGGAUUUUUGCGUUCCUUACACGGUUGGGUUAUAAUGGGAACCCCUUGACAGUUCGCCUUGAAUAAAACUCUUCCAGCAUGGCCCAACAUUGGUUUUACCUUUCGCCACCUAGUCUNNNNNNNNNNNNNNNNNNNNNNNNNNNNNNNNNNNNNNNNNNNNNNNNNNNNNNNNNNNNNNNNNNNNNNNNNNNNNNNNNNNNNNNNNNNNNNNNNNNNNNNNNNNNNNNNNNNNNNNNNNNNNNNNNNNNNNNNNNNNNNNNNNNNNNNNNNNNNNNNNNNNNNNNNNNNNNNNNNNNNNNNNNNNNNNNNNNNNNNNNNNNNNNNNNNNNNNNNNNNNNNNNNNNNNNNNNNNNNNNNNNNNNNNNNNNNNNNNNNNNNNNNNNNNNNNNNNCAACUCUAGGCUGGCCUACCCGACAUCUGGCUCAUCUGAGUGUGCCCUGAGAAUGAGAUAUUUGCAGCUCCUAUCGGGAUUUGUCGGCACAUUUGGGCGGCUUUGCUGGUUUAGUUUUACCAUUGUCGAAAUGUCUUGUAACCGGGAUGCCGAGUCUGGUAGGAUUGUCUUGGGAGAAGGAAUAUCCUUCGUUGACCGUGAGAGCUUGUGAUGGGCUAAGUUGGGACACCCCUACAGGGAUUUGAACUUUCGAAAGUCGUGCCCGUGGUUAUGGGUAGAUGGGAAUUUGUUGAUGUCCGGUUGUAGAUAACGUGAAACUUAACUUAAUUAAAAUGCAUCAACCGUGUGUGUAACCGUGAUGGUCUCUUCUCGGCGGAGUCCGGGAAGUGAACACGGUGUUGGAGUAAUGCUUGACAUAGGUUGUUCUAGGAUCACUUCGUGGUCAUAGUUUGUCGCUCGUGCCUUUGGCUUCUCUUCUCGCUCUCUUUUGCGCAUAUGUUAGCCACCAUAUAUGCUAGUCGCUUGCUGCAGCUCCACCUCAUACCUUUGCCUUACCUAUAAGCUUAAAUAGUCUUGAUCGUGAGGGUGUGAGAUUGCUGAGUCCCUGUGACUCACAGAUUACUUCCAAAACCAGAUGCAGGGACCGAUGAUACCGCUCCAGGUGAUUCAACUGGUCUCAAGUGGCAUUUCGAUGAGGACUCAGGACAAUACUACGUGUCUUUCCCAGAUGAUCAGUAGUGGUGCCCAGUUGGGGCGAUCGGGGACUAUGUCGCUUUUGGGGGUUGAUCUUCAUUUUGGUUCCGUAGUCGUACCUUGAGUGCAUUUGGAUGAAUGUAAUGUUAUUUAUGCAUUUGUGUGACGUGGCAAGUGUAAGCCAACUAUGUACCUUUUCCCUUAUUGUAUUACAUGGGUUGUUGUGAAGAUUACCUCACUUGCGACAUUGCUUUCAAUGCGGUUAUGCCUCUAAGGCAUGCUUCGACACGUGGGAGAUAUAGCCGCAUCGAGGGCGUCACAAGUUGGUAAUCAGAGCCUUCCCCGAUCUUAGGAGCCCCCUGCUUGAUCGAAUCGUUGGCGUUGUGGAGUCUAGAAAAAUGUUUUGAGUCAUUUAGGAUUAUAUAUAUAUAUCGGAGAGUAGGACUUCUUUUUACUCAGUCCCUUCGUCGCUCUGGUGAGGCCUCCUGGCGUAGAGUUUUGACUCUUCUCUUCUCAAAUUUCACUAAAAAAUAAUUUAGGAUCACGCAGGUAUCUGGGAAUCGUUCCGAUGGUUUUGUGAUGAGAACAUUGUUCUUGGUGCCUCCUGACAUUUAGGGGUUGUGGCAGUGUCCGAGGGAGUUGAGCUCCG